AUGUUGCUCUGCAGUUCUCUGAAGUUGUUCCUGGCUUCUCUGUGGAUAGGCUUUAGUAUUGCCCAGACAGUAAAACAAACCCAACCUGCCAAAGAAGCACAGGAGCUGGACAACGUAACCCUGAGUUGCACAUAUGACACCAGCUUCACUAACUACUAUCUCUAUUGGUAUAAACAACUUAGCCAUCAGGAAAUGAUCUUGCUCAUUCGUCAGAACUCCUAUGACCAGAAAAAUGCAAGUGAAGGACGCUACUCAGUCAAUUUUCAGAAGACAAGCAAGUCUAUCGAACUUUUCAUCUCAUCUUCUCAGGUGGAAGACUCUGCAGUGUAUUUCUGUGCACUGGAUGAGCCACAGUGA